UCUUUACUUGUCGCAUGUCGGCAUCUUCAAAUGGCAAAUUUAUUUUACACAAAUUCGUUGACAUGCCAUGAUGGUAGAUGGACACUACAUCACAAUAUAAGCUGAGCUGGAAAUUACAAUUGAUAAGAUAUCACAUUGGUUUGAGCAUGAUUCCCAGCAAGAUUAUGAAGGGGCAUAUAUAUCAUAUAUACAUAGGAAAUAUAUAGUGUCACUAAAUUACUCUCAUACGGUACCUCACCUCUGUAGCUGUAAAUUGCGAAACGGUGGAUUCAUUCAUAAUUUUGAGUUACUUAUUGCAAUUGGAAAUAACGUUGAUAAAGCUAACAGCAUUAUGCCAUGAUGUUGAUGGGAUGUUCUGAUUGGACAAAAAGGAAUUUGUGAAUUGAACAAAUAGCAAACUUGAAAUUCAUAGGAAAAAAAGUAGGAAAUUGGAAUAAUGAAAAUUCAUAGUUUCAGUGAUUAUCUUACAAUCAUCAUGAUCAUUGUCAAUACUACAAGUGCAUCAUCAUGAUCAUAUAUAUCUGAAUUCACCUUGGAUAAUUAUACAUUUAAAAUAAGAAUUUGGAUAUAAUAAGAAUUUCUGUGCUGGCGUUGCUACUGUUGGCUUCAUGUACCACCAGCUGGGAGUGUUAAACCUUUUUGACCUUUCGUGAGGGUCUGUCACGGUCCGUCACAAUUGGUUAGUGUCAUAUAUACAUGAUUAUGGAAGUUUCACCAACCUAGACAAGCUUUACAGCCCUGGCACGGUUGUUGGUUGCACUUAGAGUCAAAUGACAGCUUGCUGUAUACAUUUGUAGUUCAAAUAGUCUGAAUGAAUCUACAUGUAUGGUGACAAUCUUCUAAAUUGCUGUUCAUUCUGAAACUGGCAUUUUAUACUAGUACAUGUAGUAGUCGAACAUAUUAAACAAUACAUGUACUUCAAAGUAUCAAUUUAUUUUGUCUCGCCUUACAUGAAAGUCAUGAAAGUUGGUUGUAUAUAUGCAAGAAAUAUGUAUUACAGUCUUGGGGUGAUGAUGUAAGCUAUUUUUAAUAGAGCUUUACAUUUAUAAAAGCUAAAAGAGCUGGUUCAGGGAAUGAGUGUAAAAUAUACUGUUACAUUUUAUUACAUGUAAUUGGAUACAUUUUAUUGUAUAUGAGUACCUUGCAAGGUCUACUUGUCUAUCAGGUUAGGUUGACCUGACCUUAAUUUUAUUUCAUGGAUAAUCUAAGUGAUUUAGGUUAUUUCAGUUUAAUACAAUGUUAACAUGG